rnacentral:rRNA from 1 species
UACGGAAGGUGCAAGCGUUAAUCGGAAUUACUGGGCGUAAAGCGCGCGUAGGCGGCUUGGUAAGUCGGGUGUGAAAGCCCCGGGCUCAACCUGGGUACGGCACUCGAUACUGCUGGGCUGGAGUACGAGAGAGGGGGGUGGAAUUCCAGGUGUAGCGGUGAAAUGCGUAGAGAUCUGGAGGAACACCGGUGGCGAAGGCGGCCCCCUGGCUCGAUACUGACGCUGAGGUGCGAAAGCGUGGGGAGCAAACAGG